CAGCAGCCGCGGUAAUACGUAGGUGGCAAGCGUUGUCCGGAAUUAUUGGGCGUAAAGGGCUCGCAGGCGGUUUCUUAAGUCUGAUGUGAAAGCCCCCGGCUCAACCGGGGAGGGUCAUUGGAAACUGGGAAACUUGAGUGCAGAAGAGGAGAGUGGAAUUCCACGUGUAGCGGUGAAAUGCGUAGAGAUGUGGAGGAACACCAGUGGCGAAGGCGACUCUCUGGUCUGUAACUGACGCUGAGGAGCGAAAGCGUGGAGAGCGAACAGGAUUAGAUACCCCGGUAGUCCCUGUCUCUUAUAC
rnacentral:rRNA from 1 species